GGCAAAUGUCUGCCUAGCGUAGAGCCCCCAGGAAACUGGGCUGCAAGGUUGAAAUCCAGUGAGGAUUUCAAGAGGCUCGGGAAGGAGCCGGCAGCUGAGUUGUGUUAGGGCCCAAGUUUCAGGUGGCAGCAAGGCCAGGGUGGGGCAGCCCCCCAGUAAUGACCCUGGCAAAGGCAAACAGGUGACAGCACCAGGGAGGCUCAGCAGGUGAGCGCUGCAGCACCUGGAACUCGUAAGGAGACAACAGAGAGUGCUGACCCCACGGGCUGAGACAGUCUGGGCGCUGGGGAGAGGAGUGCAAGCAAGGAGGAACUGGAGGAACAGUCUGGAUGUGUUACUUCAGCUUUAGAGGAGAGAAACCUCUACCAAAGCCUCAGGAGAAGUAUGGGUGUUUGAGCAUUUGAACAGGAACGGCUCAGGAACUGAAGGCCCAUGAUGAAAUCUCUAGAGGGGCUGGAGCUACCCCCUGCCUGGUGAUAGGAGCUGACAUGGAGCAGCUGCCAGGGACCCACACCUGCCACGCUGCUCACUGCAGGCUGGUCACCCUGAGACCCUCAGCACCCACCCAAAUCUGCAGGGAAACUGUGCUUGGAAACCUCAGGAUGGGAACAAACCACACCAGCAGGGCACACUGUGUCUUGGUCACAGUUUGUGUUGUUCCUCUAAUCCUUUUCUCAGAGUUAUAUCUGACACCAGAGUCCAUCAGACAAAGUCCUUACAAACACAGGAGUCCUGAAGACAUCGGCUGAAUGUUUUCCUGGUAUAAAGAAGAAGAGGAGGAGGAGGUGGUGACAGUGCAGGCGCAGUGGGUUUGGACAGGGGCAGAGGGCACGGUGGAAGGAGAGAGGUCGGUAUGUUUGUAGCAAUGUUUGUUAAUUAUUUUUUAUUUGUUCAUUUGUUCUUUUUUAAAAAAAAACAAAA